rnacentral:lncRNA from 1 species
UUGAUGGCAAAAUUAGUCUGUAUUGGCAAUAUAGUUAAUGACUUGGACCUCGCUAUAUAUUUGGCCAGGACAUAGUAGACAUCACUAGCUAGCUAAUUAAUAAUAACUUUUUGGUUAAAGGACUUAAUUAUUAACUUAAUCCAUAUUUUUUUGUAUAUGGAUAUCUGGCUGUAAUGAAAUACUAUGUUUUGUCGGCAAAACAAAUUAUUUUAAUCGUAAACUUAUCAAAUAUAUAUGAUUUUUAGUGACUACGCAAUACGCAUACACUAACUCUUUUUUUUUUUUGAGCAACUCAUACACUAACUCGUUCUAAAAUUUGAAAGUGCAUCCAUAAUUUCUUUUAAGUACAAACAGUUGAUCGCAAAAAUCAUUUAUAUAAACAUAAUCGACAAAUGUUUAUUUUGCGUUUGGAUUG